rnacentral:rRNA from 1 species
CAAGUUUUUAAGGGCGCACGGUGGAUGCCUUGGCACCAGGAACCGAUGAAGGACGUGGGAGGCCACGAUAGUCCCCGGGGAGUCGUCAACCAGGCUUUGAUCCGGGGGUUUCCGAAUGGGGAAACCCGGCAGUCGUCAUGGGCUGUCACCCACUGCUGAACACAUAGGCAGUGUGGAGGGAACGCGGGGAAGUGAAACAUCUCAGUACCCGCAGGAAGAGAAAACAACCGUGAUUCCGGGAGUAGUGGCGAGCGAAACCGGAUGAGGCCAAACCUCAAGCGUGUGAGACCCGGCAGGGGUUGCGCUUGGGGGGUUGUGGGAUCUCUCUUUCAUGGUCUGCCGGCCAUGAGGCGAGUCAGAAACCGUUGAUGUAGGCGAAGGACAUGCGAAAGGUCCGGCGUAGAGGGUAAGACCCCCGUAGUCGAAACGUCAGCGGCUCGUUUGAGAGACACCCAAGUAGCACGGGGCCCGAGAAAUCCCGUGUGAAUCUGGCGGGACCACCCGCUAAGCCUAAAUAUUCCCUGGUGACCGAUAGCGGAUAGUACCGUGAGGGAAUGGUGAAAAGUACCGCGGGAGCGGAGUGAAAUAGUACCUGAAACCGUGUGCCUACAAGCCGUGGGAGCGUCGGGAUGUGCUUGCACAUCCUCGUGACUGCGUGCCUUUUGAAGAAUGAGCCUGCGAGUUUGCGGUGUGUUGCGAGGUUAACCCGUGUGGGGCAGCCGUAGCGAAAGCGAGUCCGAACAGGGCGUUUCAGUAGCACGCUCAAGACCCGAAGCGGAGUGAUCUAGCCAUGGGCAGGUUGAAGCGGCUGUAAGAGGUCGUGGAGGACCGAACCCACCAGGGUUGAAAACCUGGGGGAUGACCUGUGGUUAGGGGUGAAAGGCCAAUCAAACUCCGUGAUAGCUGGUUCUCCCCGAAAUGCAUUUAGGUGCAGCGUCGUGUGUUUCUUGCCGGAGGUAGAGCACUGGAUAGGCGAUGGGCCCUACCGGGUUACUGACCUUAGCCAAACUCCGAAUGCCGGUAAGUGAGAGCGCGGCAGUGAGACUGUGGGGGAUAAGCUCCAUGGUCGAGAGGGAAACAGCCCAGAGCAUCGACUAAGGCCCCUAAGCGUACGCUAAGUGGGAAAGGAUGUGGAGUCGCACAGACAACCAGGAGGUUGGCUUAGAAGCAGCCACCCUUGAAAGAGUGCGUAAUAGCUCACUGGUCUAGUGAUUCCGCGCCGACAAUGUAGCGGGGCUCAAGCGUACCGCCGAAGUCGUGUCAUUGCAGCAUGAGGGCCAACGCCCGCUGUGAUGGGUAGGGGAGCGUCGUCUGCCGGGUGAAGCAGCCGCGGAAGCGAGUUGUGGACGGUUGACGAGUGAGAAUGCAGGCAUGAGUAGCGAUUCACACGUGAGAAACGUGUGCGCCGAUUGACCAAGGGUUCCUGGGUCAAGCUGAUCUGCCCAGGGUAAGUCGGGACCUAAGGCGAGGCCGACAGGCGUAGUCGAUGGAUAACCGGUUGAUAUUCCGGUACCCGCUGUGAAGCGUCAAACAUCGAAUCCAGUGAUGCUAAGGCCGUGAAGCCGCCGGGCCCCGUCUUUGACGUGGUUCGGAGUGGUGGAGCCGCCGGCCCGAGCUGGUAGUAGGUGAGUGAUGGGGUGACGCAGGAAGGUAGUCCAUCCCGGGCGGUGGUUGUCCCGGGGUAAGGGUGUAGGCCGUGCGGUAGGUAAAUCCGUCGCACAUUANNNNNNNNNNNNNNNNNNNNNNNNNNNNNNNNNNNNNNNNNNNNNNNNNNNNNNNNNNNNNNNNNNNNNNNNNNNNNNNNNNNNNNNNNNNNNNNNUAAGGCUGAGACCUGAUGCCGAGCCGAUUGUGGUGAAGUGGAUGAUCCUAUGCUGUCGAGAAAAGCCUCUAGCGAGUUUCAUGGCGGCCCGUACCCUAAACCGACUCAGGUGGUCUGGUAGAGAAUACCGAGGCGUUCGGGUGAACUAUGGUUAAGGAACUCGGCAAAAUGCCCCCGUAACUUCGGGAGAAGGGGGGCCACACCUGGUGAGAGCACUUGCUGCUUGAGCUGGGGGUGGCCGCAGAGACCAGCGAGAAGCGACUGUUUACUAAAAACACAGGUCCGUGCGAAGCCGUAAGGCGAUGUAUACGGACUGACGCCUGCCCGGUGCUGGAACGUUAAGGGGACCGGUUAGUCACUCUUCGGGGUGGCGAAGCUGAGAACUUAAGCGCCAGUAAACGGCGGUGGUAACUAUAACCAUCCUAAGGUAGCGAAAUUCCUUGUCGGGUAAGUUCCGACCUGCACGAAUGGCGUAACGACUUCUCGACUGUCUCAACCAUAGGCCCGGUGAAAUUGCACUACGAGUAAAGAUGCUCGUUUCGCGCAGCAGGACGGAAAGACCCCGGGACCUUUACUACAGUUUGAUAUUGGUGUUCGGUUCGGCUUGUGUAGGAUAGGUGGGAGACUGUGAAGCUCAAGCGCCAGCUUGGGUGGAGUCGUCGUUGAAAUACCACUCUGGUCGUGCUGGAUGUCUAACCUGGGUCCGUGAUCCGGAUCAGGGACAGUGUCUGAUGGGUAGUUUAACUGGGGCGGUUGCCUCCCAAAGGGUAACGGAGGCGCCCAAAGGUUCCCUCAGCCUGGUUGGUAAUCAGGUGUUGAGUGUAAGUGCACAAGGGAGCUUGACUGUGAGACCGACGGGUCGAGCAGGGACGAAAGUCGGGACUAGUGAUCCGGCGGUGGCUUGUGGAAGCGCCGUCGCUCAACGGAUAAAAGGUACCCCGGGGAUAACAGGCUGAUCUUCCCCAAGAGUCCAUAUCGACGGGAUGGUUUGGCACCUCGAUGUCGGCUCGUCGCAUCCUGGGGCUGGAGUCGGUCCCAAGGGUUGGGCUGUUCGCCCAUUAAAGCGGUACGCGAGCUGGGUUUAGAACGUCGUGAGACAGUUCGGUCCCUAUCCGCUGUGCGCGUAGGAGUCUUGAGAAGGGCUGUCCCUAGUACGAGAGGACCGGGACGGACGAACCUCUGGUGUGCCAGUUGUUCUGCCAAGGGCAUGGCUGGUUGGCUACGUUCGGGAGGGAUAACCGCUGAAAGCAUCUAAGCGGGAAGCCUGCUUCGAGAUGAGGACUCCCACCCACUUGAUGGGGUAAGGCUCCCAGUAGACGACUGGGUUGAUAGGCCAGAUAUGGAAGCACGGCAACGUGUGGAGUUGACUGGUACUAAUAGGCCGAGGGCUUGUCC